rnacentral:rRNA from 1 species
UACGUAGGGGGGCAAGCGUUGUCCGGAUUUAUUGGGCGUAAAGAGCGUGUAGGCGGCUUGGUAGGUCCGCUGUGAAAACUCGAGGCUCAACCUCGAGAUGUCGGCGGAAACCACUUGGCUAGAGUCCGGAAGAGGAGAGUGGAAUUCCCCGGUGUAGCGGUGAAAUGCGCAGAUAUCGGGGAAGAACACCUAUGGCGAAGGCAGCUCUCUGGGACGGUACUGACGCUGAGACGCGAAAGCGUGGGGAGCAAACAGG